GGAUCAAUGACCGCGGCGAGAGGUGCCCGCUUGAUCAAAGCCCCGAAGGCAGGGAGGAGGGUGGGAACAGCACGGGCAGCCAGUCCUCUCUAGGAUGUUUCUGGUUAAAGCACCUCAUGGGCUGCAGUCCUGGACCUGUCUGGGAAAUCGGGUAGUAUCAUCCCUGUAGACCCCUGAGGGUCUCUGCUUUUGCAGAUUCUGCUUUGCAAGGAAAUAAAUUUUCUUCUGAAAGGAA